rnacentral:pre_miRNA from 1 species
UUUGUACUCCCUCCGUCCCAAAAUUCUUUUCUUAAAUUUGUCUAAAUACGGAUGUAUCUAGUUACAUUUUAGUGUUAGAUACAUCUGUAUCUAAACAAAUGUAAGACAAGAAUUUUGGGAUGGAGGGAAUACUAC